rnacentral:rRNA from 1 species
UAGAGUUUGAUCAUGGCUCAGAUUGAACGCUGGCGGCAGGCCUAACACAUGCAAGUCGAGCGGAUGACGGGAGCUUGCUCCUUGAUUCAGCGGCGGACGGGUGAGUAAUGCCUAGGAAUCUGCCUGGUAGUGGGGGACAACGUUUCGAAAGGAACGCUAAUACCGCAUACGUCCUACGGGAGAAAGCAGGGGACCUUCGGGCCUUGCGCUAUCAGAUGAGCCUAGGUCGGAUUAGCUAGUUGGUGGGGUAAUGGCUCACCAAGGCGACGAUCCGUAACUGGUCUGAGAGGAUGAUCAGUCACACUGGAACUGAGACACGGUCCAGACUCCUACGGGAGGCAGCAGUGGGGAAUAUUGGACAAUGGGCGAAAGCCUGAUCCAGCCAUGCCGCGUGUGUGAAGAAGGUCUUCGGAUUGUAAAGCACUUUAAGUUUGGGAGGAAGGGCAGUAAGUUAAUACCUUGCUGUUUGACGUUACCGACAGAGUAAAGCACCGGCUAACUCUGUGCCAGCAGCCGCGGUUAAUAC